ACACCGUUGGUAAAGUGGUUAUUAUGCUUACCUUCCACAGAUUUUAGAUGUUGCUGAUGAGCAAGUGGCUCGGGUUCGAUUCCCGAAUGGUUUA